UACUUACACAAACCUAGAUGGUAUACCCUACUACACACCUAGGCUACAUAGUACUAAUCUUAUGGGAACAUCGCUGUAUAUGCAGUCCAUGGUUGACCAUUUCGAAAUGUCAUUAUGCAGUGCAAGCCUG